UUGAUCAGGGUCCUUCAGGACACCACUGCUCUAAACAAAGAGCCACCAGGUCGCUGCAUCUUUUGUAAUAUGAUGGAACAAAAAGUAGGCUGGCCACAGCAUCUGAAAUGGAAACAUCUAUUAAAAUGCCUCCGCAGUAUAAGACACUUGGGAUGGUGGAAGGAGCAGAAGAACAGCGAUCAGGCAGAGUUCUACUGUUGCCCCUUAGGGAACUGAUUUAUGAUCUACUUAACAUUCUGAUU